GGUAGUCAAUAAGGAACUAUAGUUGCAACAAAACUACUUUGACAACAGAGUACAAUUAAUUUCUUAUAGACAGUAUUAAAAUAAUUCCGACAUCAUAAUUUAAUAUUCACAUCUAUUCGUGUAACACGCAGUAUAAUAGAGUUAUGACGAUAUGGAUCCUCAGCUGCCUGACAAUGUAUAGGUUAUUUAUUGGAAGGUUCUCUAGAUUUCCAGCCAGUGACAUGUAUGUUUUAUUCUCGCUUCUUCUGAGCGUCCCAGGGAAAGGGGUGAGAGGCCCCCCACCCCUGCUGACAGCAUUAACAACCACCCCGCUGGAUAAGCAGGGUUUCACUGAUGCACUUUUAAGAAAGUUGCAGGCCCCAGAGACCCCAUUUCCCUUUGGUCCUCGGUGAGAAGUCCGUGCUUUCUUCUCUACUCUUAAUAAGUCUGCACCAUAGGACUUGCAGGCUUCUGUAGUUGGAGAGCUGUUCUCCUUUGCAGGGAAGUUCCUGGGCUUUGCUCCAAAGCUGCCCCGGAAUGUUUUGGUUGGUUUGGAGAAAAGCUGUGGCGUCUACACCACUUGUUCCAAGCAGGCGGCCCCCUGGUGGCUAACGGGGGGUGAGAAAGCUGGCCACUGAGGAAGAAGUCUGGCGCAGGUAGAAGAUUCUGAGGCCCUGGGCGGGAACUAGUAAGCCACAAUCUGGAAGAGUCUUUUACCACCAUGUGGAGGAGAACUAGAGCAC
rnacentral:lncRNA from 1 species